rnacentral:rRNA from 1 species
ACGGAAGGCAGCAGUGGGGAAUAUUGCACAAUGGGCGAAAGCCUGAUGCAGCGACGCCGCGUGAGUGAAGAAGUAUCUCGGUAUGUAAAGCUCUAUCAGCAGGGAAGAAAAUGACGGUACCUGACUAAGAAGCCCCGGCUAACUACGUGCCAGCAGCCGCGGUAAUACGUAGGGGGCAAGCGUUAUCCGGAUUUACUGGGUGUAAAGGGAGCGUAGACGGUUUGGCAAGUCUGAAGUGAAAUGCGGGGGCUCAACUCCUGAACUGCUUUGGAAACUGUCGAACUAGAGUGCAGGAGAGGUAAGUGGGAUUCCUAGUGUAGCGGUGAAAUGCGUAGAUAUUAGGAGGAACACCAGUGGCGAAGGCGGCUUACUGGACUGUAACUGACGUUGAGGCUCGAAAGCGUGGGGAGCAAACAGGAUUAGAUACCCUGGUA